rnacentral:rRNA from 1 species
AUACAUGCAGUCGAGCGGACUUGAUGAGGAGCUUGCUCCUCUGAUAGUUAGCGGCGGACGGGUGAGUAACACGUAGGCAACCUGCCCUCAAGACUGGGAUAACUACCGGAAACGGUAGCUAAUACCGGAUAAUUUAUUUUGCCACAUGGCGGAAUAAUGAAAGGCGGAGCAAUCUGCCACUUGAGGAUGGGCCUGCGGCGCAUUAGCUAGUUGGUGGGGUAAUGGCCCACCAAGGCGACGAUGCGUAGCCGACCUGAGAGGGUGAACGGCCACACUGGGACUGAGACACGGCCCAGACUCCUACGGGAGGCAGCAGUAGGGAAUCUUCCGCAAUGGACGAAAGUCUGACGGAGCAACGCCGCGUGAGUGAUGAAGGUUUUCGGAUCGUAAAGCUCUGUUGCCAGGGAAGAACGCUUAGGAGAGUAACUGCUCCUGAGGUGACGGUACCUGAGAAGAAAGCCCCGGCUAACUACGUGCCAGCAGCCGCGGUAAUACGUAGGGGGCAAGCGUUGUCCGGAAUUAUUGGGCGUAAAGCGCGCGCAGGCGGUUCUUUAAGUCUGGUGUUUAAACCUGGGGCUCAACUUCAGGUCGCACUGGAAACUGGGGGACUUGAGUACAGAAGAGGAGAGUGGAAUUCCACGUGU